UAAUUCGUUGUUAUAAAAUAUGUCAUUUGAAUUCAUUUGUUUUAAAUUUGUAUAUUUAUAUUAAUGCAAAUGUAAUUAUUUAAAAUUCGAAUAAUAGCCCUAAUCUACGCCAUGACACUUGACGCCUAUUGGAUGAAAUAUUGCGCAGUAAAGACGCCAUGACACCUGUUUGUUGAAUAUAUACAUUAGAGGGCAGCAUCACGUAAGUUGCAAUGACGCAGUAAGAAAGUUUAGUUUAAAAAAUUUCGUAGGAAGUUAGUAAAAUAUUUUUUCGUAUUCGUAGAUUUAUCGUUUAGUGCAAAUAUAGUGUAGUGAAUGUAUUCAAUAUUUUUCUCGUUGUAAUAAAUAAUGUUUGAGAAAAUUUUAGUUAUACGAAAACAGAGAGACAUUAAUUUUUUUAUAUUCUUUGCAAUUUUUCAUCUUUAUUCAUCGACAUAGAGGAUCUACCUUAAUGAUGUCCCUGAUGAAUUUUCCUGGGAGCUCGUCUGAUGACUAUCUCAGAGUAACAGUAUCAUCAACUACUGGUAUUUGGGGUUUUUCACUGUUAGUUUCAUUCAUUUUCUACAAACGCUUUACGGAUAGCCUCGUUACUUGGCCGGCCAACCCUCUUCUCGUCGCAGUGAAACGCCAACGCAACGGUUAUAAUGGCGCUGCCCUUUUCUUGCGCUCGAAAAAGGAGGAAGAGGAGGAGGAAAGAGUUGUUACCGCAUUUACAAUUCAACUUGGUACAAAUGUAUCGAUUGUUUUAAAUUUUUAAGUGGAAUAGAAGAAGGUAAGGGAUGAUUUGUUAAUCGACGAAGAUAUAAUACGAGAAAAAAAGUGUGGAGUCACUUAUUUCUUUCGUGAAUGGAAGAAUUUAAUUAAAAGGUUAAGAAUU